GUGUGUGUGGAGUUAGACAGAACAAAGAGAGGGCCCUAUACACUCUCUAGGUGAGGACUCUGUGUAGGACUAGGUGAGGACUCCGUGUAGGACUAGGUGAGGACUCCGUGUAGGACUAGGUGAGGACUCCGUGUAGGACUAGGUGAGGACUCUGUGUAGGACUAGGUGAGGACUCUGUGUAGGACUGGGUGAGGACUCUGUGUAGGACUAGGUGAGGACUCUGUGUAGGACUAGGUGAGGACUCUGUGUAGGACUAGGUGAGGACUCUGUGUAGGACUAGGUGAGGACUCUGUGUAGGACUAGGUGAGGACUCUGUGUAGGACUAGGUGAGGACUCUGUGUAGGACUAGGUGAGGACUCUGUGUAGGACUAGGUGAGGACUCUGUGUAGGACUAGGUGAGGACUCUGUGUAGGACUGGGUGAGGACUCUGUGUAGGACUGGGUGAGGACUCUGUGUAGGACUGGGUGAGGACUCUGUGUAGGACUAGGUGAGGACUCUGUGUAGGACUAGGUGAGGACUCAGGGUCUUUACAGAUAGCUAGCUCAGUGAUAAAGCAUGUCCCCUGUGUUUUACAAAGUAGCACUUACCAAGUUCAAUAGGCAAAAUUACACUCA